ACUAUUUUACUAUGUUCUCUCUUUCAAUCAAAUAAUCUGUUCUUACAAGUUUAAUAUCUAAUACGCCUCCUAUCUGCGCGCCAUACAGUAAAGGGGUUUUUAGAGCAAGGAGAUGGAAGAAGAGCUUGCUCUGUCCACUCCACGCAUUGACCUGGUAUUGCAGUACCUCUAGGACCGACGCAACUCAA
rnacentral:snRNA from 1 species